rnacentral:rRNA from 1 species
AACGUAGGAGGCAAGCGUUAUCCGGAGUUACUGGGCGUAAAGCGCGUGUAGGCGGUCCGGUAAGUCCGCUGUGAAAGUCGGGGGCUCAACCCUCGGAUGCCGGUGGAUACUGUCGGGCUUGAGUACGGAAGAGGCGAGUGGAAUUCCUGGUGUAGCGGUGAAAUGCGCAGAUAUCAGGAGGAACACCAAUUGCGAAGGCAGCUCGCUGGGACGUUACUGACGCUGAGACGCGAAAGCGUGGGGAGCAAACAGG